AACGAACGCUGGCGGCAGGCCUAACACAUGCAAGUCGAGCGGACCUUUCGGGGUCAGCGGCGGACGGGUGAGUAACGCGUGGGAAUAUGCCCUUCUCUACGGAAUAGUCCUGGGAAACUGGGGGUAAUACCGUAUACGCCCUUUGGGGGAAAGAUUUAUCGGGGAAGGAUUAGCCCGCGUUGGAUUAGGUAGUUGGUGGGGUAAUGGCCUACCAAGCCGAUGAUCCAUAGCUGGUUUGAGAGGAUGAUCAGCCACACUGGGACUGAGACACGGCCCAGACUCCUACGGGAGGCAGCAGUGGGGAAUCUUAGACAAUGGGGGCAACCCUGAUCUAGCCAUGCCGCGUGAGUGAUGAAGGCCUUAGGGUUGUAAAGCUCUUUCAGCUGGGAAGAUAAUGACGGUACCAGCAGAAGAAGCCCCGGCUAACUCCGUG
rnacentral:rRNA from 1 species